rnacentral:rRNA from 1 species
AACGAACGCUGGCGGCAUGCCUAACACAUGCAAGUCGAACGAGACCUUCGGGUUUAGUGGCGCACGGGUGCGUAACGCGGGGGAACCUGCCCUUAGGUCCGGAAUAACUCCCCGAAUGGGGUGCUAAUACCGGAUAAUGUCUUCCGACCAAAGAUUUAUCGCCUUUGGAUGGGCCCGCGUUGGAUUAGCUAGUUGGUAGGGUAAAAGCCUACCAAGGCGACGAUCCAUAGCUGGUAUGAGAGGAUGAUCAGCCACACUGGGACUGAGACACGGUCCAGAAUCCUACGGGAGGCAGCAGUGGGGAAUAUUGGACAAUGGGGGGAAGCCUGAUCCAGCAAUGCCGGGUGAGUGAUGAAGGCCGUAGGGUUGUAAAGCUCUUUUACCCGGGAUGAUAAUGACAGUACCGGGAGAAUAAGCUCCGGCUAACUCCGUG